CAGAGCUGAGAGGCUGCAGAUCACAAGGCCAUUCUGAUAGCCUCCUGUCCCCAUGGCAACAGCAACGGCAUUUAUCAGUUCCUUAUGAGAGCAGGCACAGCAAAUCUGCAAUGCACAAAUGCACAUGGCAGCCUUCCAGCCUUUCAAAUGAAAGAGCACUUUGAACUGCUGCCAAGUGUGGAAGGAGCAGAGCUGUCAGGACUGCUUAAUGCUGGCAGUUUGUACUUGGGAGCCUUUCUGUUCCCAGAAUCCUUCAGCUGUGGCAGCCUGCCAGGUACUUAGCGGAAGCUAAAACUAACCCCCAGACCAUUCACUGCAGUGCACUCAAAAUUUUCCACAUGUACUGUGUCACAAGUGCAGACUGUACAAUGAAAGCAAACGCCUUCUGCUUGAGGUUCUGAUUUUAUUAAUAAUCUAGGAAAAAGUGAUUGGCGAUUAGCUGGCUGACAGCAGUACAGUAUAGCCACUGUGCAUAACUCUGCGCGUGUGUCAAACGUGUAUUUCAUCCUUCAAAAACAGAAUUAGCUCUGACAACAGAUUUGCGUGCAGUAUCUGAGUGCUGGGCACAAGCAGCGGGAGCAGGAGGAGGAGCAUGCUUAUUUACAGUGGGGUAUUUUGUAGAGAUCGUCAUCAGAUGCAUAGCAAUGAGGCACGGAAUAGAAAAAGAAGGCGCUGUUGCUGGCUGCCACAUCGGGCACCUGAAUGGCUUCAUUGUUGGGGCUUCCUCUUUUCCUCCUCCAAACGCAAUAUUAAUUCCUGGAUUAUUUCAGAGCUAAACAAACACUUCACCA